UGUGUAAAGUGUCGGUUUUGGUUCGAUGAUACAAUUUUGUUGUAUUACUUUCUUCUUGUAUGGUUGCAUAUGUUACGCCUUUCUUUGAUUGUAUCUCGCAAUCCGUGUUUAGUUUCACUAAAGCCGCGUAAUAACUGGGAGUUAUCGUUUUGUCACAGUGUAUUCUUAUACUGUUUGGAUUGUGUGUGUAGUAGAUAAAUUGAUUAACUUUCGCCAGAGUUGGCCUCAAAAUUAUAUGCAGUACAAUCAUUCAUCAUAAACAAAUCGGAGAUAAGUAUUCGUUUUUUUACAUCAUUACACCAGUCACCUCGGUCGGGAAACUGUUUUAUUCCCGCCAAGGAUAAACAUCAGUUAUAUUCUAUACAUUACAACACUAUUGACCUUUUUCCUUGUCUUUACAGCUGGCAUGAUCCCAGACUCGUAAUACUUGUUUACCAAAAACCAUCCAAGCUAUGGGACUGAAGGUAACGGCGAGUUGGAAUCUUUCUUCAACACAUCAUCGACCGUAAAAAAAUUAAGGGACACGAGAGAACAAGAUACGGAUGAAACGUGUUAAUUCUACCGCCAAUCUGCUAAUCAGCUGCUAAUCAGCUAAUGCAAAUCAGAGCGAUGCAGCAGGAAGAGGAACGGGAACUUGCUCGGGAACUUGCAUGGAAAUGCUCAUGAAACUGAGGUGGUUGAGGCUGCGAUUAAAAUUUGCCUCUUGUACGCAGUUUAUAGAAUGAUU